rnacentral:lncRNA from 1 species
AUUUUACAGAUUCUGCGUCCUCCUUCUUUCUCUGAUUCCGAGGACGGAAUCCCUAUAAGGAGGGUAGAUUGUAGUGACCCGGACUUUUAAAUAUUUUUAUUAAUAUUAUAAAUGAUUUUCUUAAAAAGAAAGGAAUAAGAUUUAAUAUUUUAUUCCAGUUUAAUGAGUUUUCAAAGUUUUAUAUUUAAACCCCGGGUUAUUGUGUUAUUGAUAAAUAAUUGUAUUUUCAAAACUGAUUUUCAUAUAUUGUUUUGAAAAUUCUGUAUGAAUAUUAUGUGAAUAUAUGUGUUAUGUGAUUAAGUGGUAUUGGUGAAUUUGUUUGUUAAUUAGUUAUGAUUAAUUAUUAAUGUUACAUGAUUAAUAUAUGAAUUUUUGUGAAUUUUGUGUUAUCUAGUUUAUUGAGCUGAAUGCUCGUAUGUGUUCGUAUUCGCGAGAUUUCAAUUUCUAUAUGCUCAGAAUGAAAUAUAGUUUAUUUGGGUAUUUUCAUAUUGAUUUAUGGAAUGUUAGAUGAUUUUAUAAUCGAUUUACGGAUUUAAUUGCGUAUAUUUAUAUUUAUUUAUUAAUUAUUUGACUUCCGUAAAACCGUCCACUCGUAACGAGGUAGCAAAUUUUCUUCCCGGAAGUUUCAACAAAACUCACCUUUAGCCUAAUUUGAAUAUUCCGGACAUUUUUCGUGUUUUGACUUUUUCGAUCCGGAGUACGGUUUUCCCCGUAGUCGGUCCGGCGGAGUUUUUCGGGUAUUUUAAUUGUUGAUAAUUAUCUGGUUGUCUCGAUAAACGUGAAACUAGAUAUUUUGAUUCAUCCUUAUCUUGUAAUAAUUGCAGUGGGACCCGCAUACUAAUGACUGAUUAAAAAGCCCCGUUUUGAUGAUUAUCUUGAAAACCAGUACCGAUUGGACCCCGCUUUAUUAAUAUAAAGCUAUUAAAUACGUAUUUUCAUGUCAUAUACGAUCCAAAGGGGUACCAAUUAUUUGUAAAUAUAAAUAGACCUUUCUAUAGCUUUAUUUCACCCGUAAAAUCAUUUCACCAGUUUCUCUGCACGAAUACCGAGAGAAACCAAGCGGUGUUCUUCGUGUUCUUCAUAAUCAAACGAAGAUUUGAAGGUGUUAUUGGAGUCAGAAUCAAGCGUGC